rnacentral:rRNA from 1 species
UCGAACGCGAAAGUGGAGCAAUCCAUGAGUAGAGUGGCAAACGGGUGAGUAACGCGUGGGCGACCUACCUCAGAGUGGGGGAUAACCUUCCGAAAGGAGGGCUAAUACCGCAUGACAUCCUUCGUUUAGAUACGAGGUGAUCAAAGCCGGGGAUCGUAAGACCUGGCGCUUGGAGAGGGGCCCGCGUCCGAUUAGCUAGUUGGUGAGGUAACGGCUCACCAAGGCUCCGAUCGGUAUCCGGCCUGAGAGGGCGGACGGACACACUGGAACUGAGACACGGUCCAGACUCCUACGGGAGGCAGCAGUGGGGAAUUGUUCGCAAUGGGCGCAAGCCUGACGACGCAACGCCGCGUGGAGGAUGAAGACCUUCGGGUCGUAAACUCCUUUCGACCGAGAUGAAUUCCUGCCGGCCUAACAUGCCGGCGGGUUGACAGUAUCGAGGGAAGCAGCCCCGGCUAACUCCGUGCCAGCAGCCGCGGUAAUACGGGGGGGGCAAGCGUUGUUCGGAAUUACUGGGCGUAAAGGGUUCGUAGGUGGCUCGCUAAGUCAGACGUGAAAUCCCUCAGCUUAACUGGGGAACUGCGUCUGAGACUGAUGAGCUUGAGUGCAGGAGAGGAACGCGGAAUUCCAGGUGUAGCGGUGAAAUGCGUAGAUAUCUGGAGGAACACCGGUGGCGAAGGCGGCGUUCUGGACUGCAACUGACACUGAGGAACGAAAGCCAGGGGAGCAAACGGGAUUAGAUACCCCGGUAGUCCUGGCCCUAAACGAUGAAUGCUUGGUGUGGCGGGUAUCGAUCCCUGCCGUGCCGGAGUUAACGCGUUAAGCAU